rnacentral:sRNA from 1 species
UACUUACUCCGUGAAUCGGA